rnacentral:rRNA from 1 species
AAAGCUUUUGCGGCAUGGGAUGGGGUCGCGUCCUAUCAGCUUGUUGGUGGGGUAACGGCCUACCAAGGCUUCGACGGGUAGCCGGCCUGAGAGGGCGACCGGCCACAUUGGGACUGAGAUACGGCCCAGACUCCUACGGGAGGCAGCAGUGGGGAAUAUUGCACAAUGGGCGCAAGCCUGAUGCAGCGACGCCGCGUGAGGGAUGAGGCCUU